GCCAGGCACGGUGGCUCACGCCUGUAAUCCUAGCACUUUGGGAGGCUGAGGUGGGUGGAUCACCUGAGGUCAGGAGUUCAAGACCAGCCUGGCCAUCAUGGUGAAACCCCAUCUUUAUUCUAAAAAAAAAAAAAGAGAGAGAGAGAAUGUUUUCUUUCUUUCUUUCUUUUUUUUAAGAAGGGGUUUCACCAUGGUGGCCAGGCUGGUCUUGAACUCCUGACCUUAGGUGAUCCACCCACCUCGG
rnacentral:SRP_RNA from 1 species